AGAGUUUGAUCCUGGCUCAGAUUGAACGCUGGCGGCAUGCCUUACACAUGCAAGUCGAACGGUAACAGGGAGCUUGCUCUGCUGACGAGUGGCGAACGGGUGAGUAAUAUAUCGGAACGUGCCCUGGAGUGGGGGAUAACUAGUCGAAAGAUUAGCUAAUACCGCAUACGAUCUCAGGAUGAAAGUGGGGGAUUCGCAAGGACCUCAUGCUCGUGGAGCGGCCGAUAUCUGAUUAGCUAGUUGGUAGGGUAAAAGCCUACCAAGGCAUCGAUCAGUAGCUGGUCUGAGAGGACGACCAGCCACACUGGGACUGAGACGCGGCCCAGACUCCUACGGGAGGCAGCAGUGGGGAAUUUUGGACAAUGGGCGCAAGCCUGAUCCAGCAAUGCCGCGUGAGUGAAGAAGGCCUUCGGGUUGUAAAGCUCUUUUGUCAGGGAAGAAACGGUUUGGCUUAAUACGCUGAGCUAAUGACGGUACCUGAAGAAUAAGCACCGGCUAACUACGUGCCAGCAGCCGCGGUAAUACGUAGGGUGCAAGCGUUAAUCGGAAUUACUGGGCGUAAAGCGUGCGCAGGCGGUUAUGUAAGACAGAUGUGAAAUGCCCGGGCUUAACCUGGGAACUGCAUUUGUGACUGCAUGGCUAGAGUGUGUCAGAGGGGGGUAGAAUUCCACGUGUAGCAGUGAAAUGCGUAGAUAUGUGGAGGAAUACCGAUGGCGAAGGCAGCCCCCUGGGAUAACACUGACGCUCAUGCACGAAAGCGUGGGGAGCAAACAGGAUUAGAUACCCUGGUAGUCCACGCCCUAAACGAUGUCUACUAGUUGUCGGGUCUUAAUUGACUUGGUAACGCAGCUAACGCGUGAAGUAGACCGCCUGGGGAGUACGGUCGCAAGAUUAAAACUCAAAGGAAUUGACGGGGACCCGCACAAGCGGUGGAUGAUGUGGAUUAAUUCGAUGCAACGCGAAAAACCUUACCUACCCUUGACAUGUCAGAGAGCUCGAAGAGAUUUGAGUGUGCUCGAAAGAGAAUCUGAACACAGGUGCUGCAUGGCUGUCGUCAGCUCGUGUCGUGAGAUGUUGGGUUAAGUCCCGCAACGAGCGCAACCCUUGUCAUUAGUUGCUACGAAAGGGCACUCUAAUGAGACUGCCGGUGACAAACCGGAGGAAGGUGGGGAUGACGUCAAGUCCUCAUGGCCCUUAUGGGUAGGGCUUCACACGUCAUACAAUGGUACAUACAGAGGGCUGCCAACCCGCGAGGGGGAGCUAAUCCCAGAAAGUGUAUCGUAGUCCGGAUUGGAGUCUGCAACUCGACUCCAUGAAGUUGGAAUCGCUAGUAAUCGCGGAUCAGCAUGUCGCGGUGAAUACGUUCCCGGGUCUUGUACACACCGCCCGUCACACCAUGGGAGCGGGUUUUACCAGAAGUAGGUAGCCUAACCGCAAGGAGGGCGCUUACCACGGUAGGAUUCGUGACUGGGGUGAAGUCGUAACAGGGUA
rnacentral:rRNA from 1 species